AAACUAACAUGACACAAGUUGCCCGCUUGGCGAGGCUAUCAGCAUACAGGUAAGCAGUAAAUUUUAUGAAAUGAUGAAGCAGUUAAUUUUAUGACACAAGCAAGUGAAAAUAACAUGACACAAGCAUGCAAAUUAUGACACAGUUACUUUGCUUUUGUUUUAUCUAUUGUCAUUCCAUUAAUAUGCUCCAUUGAGGUUAGGUAGAAACCAUGUAGAUAAGGCUAUGUCGCGACAUAGAAUAGCAGAUCUGCGCCCCAUACAGUUUGGUACUCCG
rnacentral:lncRNA from 1 species